UACGAAGGGGGCUAGCGUUGCUCGGAAUCACUGGGCGUAAAGGGUGCGUAGGCGGGUCUUUAAGUCAGGGGUGAAAUCCUGGAGCUCAACUCCAGAACUGCCUUUGAUACUGAAGAUCUUGAGUUCGGGAGAGGUGAGUGGAGCUGCGAGUGUAGAGGUGAAAUUCGUAGAUAUUCGCAAGAACACCAGUGGCGAAGGCGGCUCACUGGCCCGAUACUGACGCUGAGGCACGAAGGCGUGGGGAGCAAACAGG
rnacentral:rRNA from 1 species